rfam:Lactobacillus sakei strain 23K complete genome.
AACAACGCGUUGAACAAGAGCGAUUAAUAUUGGACUAGUUUAGAGAGAAGAUGCAUGGCUGAGACGUCUUCCAAUGACCAAUUAAUCGGUAGCUUGUGAGCUGUUAACCUGAAAUUUAGUAGGGCUAACCGGACCAUUUCGUUCGUUAACAAAUCAUGAGUUGGGGACUAGUCUAGUCCUAAUUUAGGUGGUACCGCGAAAAAGCAUUCGUCCUAUUG